GUUUCGCAUCACAACCCUUUUUUAUAACCAAUGGGACUAGGCAGGGUUGCCCACUGUCACCACUCCUUUAUAUCAUAGCACUGGAGCCGCUGCUACAGACUAUUAGAGAUGAACCACAAAUCACGGGCAUAGUAAGAGGAGGAAGGGAAUACAAACUAACAGCAUUUGCUGAUGAUGUGAUGCUAUCACUGACUAACCCACAACUCUCCAUUCCAAC